CUUCACGCUUGGCUUAUGGACUUUCUGAACAAGGGCUAUGCCACAACUGUGGCAACAAUAGAUCCUUUAACUAAAUGCACAUGGUUGGGGAUUGAACCUGUGCCUCCACAGCAACCCAAGCUGCUGUAGUCAGCUUGCGCUAUAGCAGGAACUCCUAAUUUGACUUUUUAAACAAACAAAAUAAUGUCGUCAUGAUACACAUAUUGUUCACCAACACUUCUUUUACUUUGUAAGGCUAACUUCAUUGUAUUGAAUUACUCCAUUAUGAAUAAUAUACCACAAAAUUCCUGUGUCCUGCAUAUUUAAUAAUUGCUCACCUGAGGGGCAUUUGAGUUGCUUCUCAUUUCUUAUUAUAUAACAUGAUGCAAUUAAAAUCACUUAUACAUUUCUUUAUACAAACAUACACACACUCACACACAAGCAUUCCAUUUUAAAGAAACUUCCAGAAUGGCAGUGGCAACGUAGGAUUAAAGAUGUAUAUAUUUCAGGAGUUCCCAUCAUGGCUCAGCAGAAAUGAAUCUGACUAGCAUCCAUGAGGACGCAGGUUCAAUCUCUGGCCUUGCUGAGUGGGUUAAAGGAUUUGGCAUUGCUGUGAUGUAUGGUGUAAAUCACUGAUGUGGCUCGGAUCCUGCAUUGCUGUGGCUGUGGCAUAGGCUGGCCGCUACAGCUCAGAUUCAACCCCUAGUGUGGGAACCUCCAUAUGCCAUGGGUACAGCCCUAAAAAGACAAAAAAAAAAAAAAAAGAUGUAUACAUUUCAACAUUUCACUUCUCCUGUAAAAAUGUACCAAUUUAUAGCCUCACCAACAAUUGGAGAGUGCUCAUGUCUUGAAAUUUUCUCCUUAUAUUUAUUGCAGAACCUUUUAUAGCUCUUGGCACAUAAUCAGCAUGAGACACCUGCUUAAAAGGAUGAAUAGCAGCACUGAGGUCAAAUAAUUAAAUCAUUUAUUUACACUGUUAUCAACAUAUAUGGGCACAAGGAUAUGUGCUUGUGUCUUGAUAAAUGUCCUAUUAUAUUCCUCAGAUUCAACAAGCAUUCCAAAUAUAUCUAUUUAGAAGAACUGAGAUAUGAAAUUCUCCAUGCUUCAGUACAUUGUGAUUGUUUAGUUAAAUAUAAUUUGUGGAUUCUGAGCAGAGGGGACUUAGUCAUGUAAUGCUUUUUGGCAUUUUCUAGAAAAUACACUUACAUUUUAAGUCUUGAGAUCAACAUAACAUCCUCCUUAUAAUAACUUUCUUUAGGAGCACUUGGCUACACCAAAAAUAGAUUUAUUGUUUCUAUACUUUGAAAUAUAAGCUUUCUCUUCAAAUUAAUCAGUUAGUUUCUCUGAACACAAAGUAUUCCCUGAACACAAGUUCUGUUUAGAAGCUACUUAACUCAUAGGGAUCAAGGAGUUAUAAAUGUUUAAGUUAUUAUUUUGAGGUAGCAGUAACCUGGGCUUUAAGAGAACUGGACCAACUUGACAUUGUAAACAACAGAAGCACCCCUCCAUUUUAUGCAAGAGAUGCUUUUGUUAAGCGAUUACUAAGGAAAAAAAAAAAGAGUCAAAUUAUAUUUUAAUUCCCCAUAAGAGCUGGAGUACACUAGAUAGGAAACCUCCUUAAGACUAUGAAGAAUAGAAUUUACAGAAUAAUAGAAAGGUUUGUAAUAAAUAAUAAUUUUAUUACUCUGAUUUGGGGGAUCUACGAUUCCACCUUAAGAAUUCACAAUUGGCACAUAUGACAUGUCAAUGAAAUUCGGAACUUAGGUUCAGUACUCAAUGAAAGCAGAACUGUAGUGUCAAAACAGGAGUUCAUUUGAACUACUAGGGUAAGAUGGGGAAAGAUUCAGAAUUCAGUGGUGAAAGUCACACUGAAACAAGUGAUCAGGGCAAAGAAGUGGUUUAAAUGCAAGUAAAUAUUCCAAAGGCAGAGGUCAUGAAGACUUAGAGAGUCAAGAAAGAUAAGUGGCAGAAAUGAGGGAGAUAGAUGGGAAAAGAACGAACAUGUAUUGAUUUCUCAAGAUAUACCAAGCACUAUGGCAACAUCUUUUCAGACAGCUCUUAUUUCUCUUAAUCCUCCGGACUGCCUCUGACUGUCAUUUAUACUGUUAUUUAUAGAAAAGGAGAGAACUUAAGUGGCUUUGCAAGGGUUACUCAGCUGAUAAAAUUCAAGGUUAUAGCAACAAAGAGGGUAUUCUUUGAACUACCUCAUGCUACAGCCCAGUGUGAAGCCCCAAGUAAGAACAAUCUUUUUUCUUUAUUAUUAUAAUUUUAAUAGUUAUUUCCCCAAUACAAUUUUUUUUCUGCUGUACAGCAUGAUGACCCAGUUACACAUACACAUUCUGUUUUUGCACAUUAUCAUACUCCAUCAAACAAUCUAUUUUAUAAUAGAGAGAGCAAGCCUGUCUCCAAAGUUUCUGAAAUUCUUCCCAUGGGAAUAGGAAGUAAUAACUGAUUUUCUAAUAUGAGAUUAACUUUAGUCUAGCAGUUUCUAUAAGUAUCAUCCUUUGUUCACAUCCUUAAAUAGUGUCUGAUUUCUAUUAAAAGCAUGGGUUUCUAAGCCCAAUGCGUAUCUAUUAAGUCAGAGUCUUUGGGAGUUGCGACACUAGGAAACUGUUUUACAAACAUCUCAUGUGCCUUUUAAACACAGUGAUACUUUAGAAACACUGAUUUAAAGGUUCAAAAGUGACAUCUAGCAUAUCCAACUAAACCUGGUAUUUAAAAUUCAUAGGAAGCCAUUCAAUUUUCCAGUUUCUGAAUAUGACUGAAAAUGAUAAUGAAAUGAAGAAAGCAAAAUGGUUUCCAUCUUUGACAAAUUAGUUAACAACAGAAGAAAAAGAGAUACUGCACAUAAAUUUCUACAAUUUUCAAAUAGCAAAUAACAAACUAAACACUAAUAACAGAAAUAUCAGGUGAAUUAAAGCAAAUUAAAAGUAUCAAAAUGACAAACCACCCAAUCUUGACAUCACUGAUGAGUUUUCAGAUCUCUGAGGCAAGAUGCAAUAGCAAUAGUUGGAAACAUAUUUUCUAAAGCAGCUCUUCACCUACUGUUUCAGACACAUUAGGGUAAGAUCUCAAAUAAUUUAAGUUCUACCUUCAAUUUAAUUGUCAAUUAAUCUCUCUGAUUGUAUUCGGUAGACACUACAUAUGAACGCCAAAGAGGCCAAGGAUCAAAAAUGCAUACCACUCAGCUAGGAAUUUCAUGUAACAUUUUUCUAACAGGGGGAAGGAGAAUUCUUCCUAGACCACUUUUAGCACCUAGGAUGGGCUCCAUCAAGAUCAAGCAGAAAAGAAAUGUUAAUAGAAACAAAAUUUCAUGUUCUUUCAUUCCACCUGUGUUUGAUAAAUACUAUUUUAUUUUUGCUUUUGUUUUUCCUGAAUUUAAAAUACCAGCUAUGCCCACAAUAAUUUCCUGCCUCACUCACCUUGAGUAAUUACACCUUUCAGGCAUUAUAUUCAAAUGUAAAGACAUUUCAACCCAUGAACACAUGGGUAAGUUAUACAGUCAUCCAGGUAAAUAGAGUUAAAUUUGUUACUGUUUAUACAUGUUCCCAGUACUGGUCAACUUAUUUAUAUGAUUCAUCUAAUUUAACUCAUAACAAUUCUGUGAGACAUAAUGAUUAGGAUAUCCUCAUUUAGGGAAUAAAAGAACCAAGGUCCAAAAUGGACAGGAAAGUUGCCCAUGCUAUGGUGGUACUAAGAAGGAGGCUCAGGAUUUGAUCCCAGGUAAACAUUAAAGCCCAAAUCUUAACCACCAUACAACACUAACACAGUAACAAUGUGAACAAAUGUCUGGUAUUCAAAUCAGCACAAAUGUCUCCUAAAGGGUGUACUUUAUUAUUUUAAGUACAUGCCAUGUCUUAUAAAAACACAUAGAGUAGAUGAAUUUAGUAAGUAACUUCCAAAGCAAAGCAGAGGUUUCAUCUUGAGUCUACCUCACUCAUCUUCCAGCAUUUAUACAUACAAUGAGGACCAGUUUAUACUGACAAACCGGAAUCCAUGACAGAGUCUAAAGUUUACUUUCAAAAAUGAAAAAAACAGAAAUAGCUUCAGAAUGAAUAAUACUUACUAAUUGUUAGCUCUUUUAUUUAAUUCUUUAAACACUGACAAUUCACAUAUGGUUUUAGAAUAAGAAGGACUGCAUUCAAAUCCAGGCUUUGUCACUUACUCUUGAUGUGCUCUUAGCCAAGUAACUUUGCUAGACUAAGCUUCACCCUUAUAAUCCUAAAAAUUAAGGGGGAGGACUAAUUAUUAUCCCAAAUAAGAAUUAACAGGCUAUCUCAGGAAAUUUUAGGGUACUAUUUAAAAUUACAGAUCUUUAGGACUUAGCCCAACAUAUGCCUCUGAUGUUGGGGCUCACUGCCUAAAGUAAGUCCUCCAGGUGAACCUGAGAGGACAAGUAACCACUGGACUUGACUUCAGAUUUCCAAGAUACAAUUUAUUAAUUGUGACAAAGAUAAAUUAUAGCUUCUUUAUUCCCCCAUUUUAAAGAAAAAAAAAGAUCAAAGAAUUAAUAAUUUAAUUAUAUCAAAAAUAUAAUUGACAUUGAUGAAUUUCUAUUUAUUAUUUAUUAUUAUAUCAUAAAGCAAAAAAAAAAGACUU
rnacentral:lncRNA from 1 species